CCCAGACUCCUACGGGAGGCAGCAGUGGGGGAUAUUGCACAAUGGGGGGAACCCUGAUGCAGCGACGCCGCGUGGGUGAAGGAGCGUUUCGGCGCGUAAAGCCCUCUCGGCAGGGAAGAAGGAGGACGGUACCUGACUAAGAAGCCCCGGCUAACUACGUGCCAGCAGCCGCGGUAAUAUGUAGGGGGCAAGCGUUAUCCGGAUUUACUGGGUGUAAAGGGGGCGCAGACGGCAGCGCAAGCCAGGAGUGAAAGCCCGGGGCCCAACCCCGGGACUGCUCUUGGAACUGCGCGGCUGGAGUGCAGGAGGGGCAGGCGGAAUUCCUGGUGUAGCGGUGAAAUGCGUAGAUAUCAGGAGGAACACCGGUGGCGAAGGCAGCCUGCUGGACUGCGACUGACGUUGAGGCCCGAAAGCGUGGGGAGCAAACAGGAUUAGAUACCCCAGUA
rnacentral:rRNA from 1 species